GCACACACAUUCCAGCCAAUCAGCAGCAGACCCUCCCUCCCAGACCCUCCCACCUCCUGGACAGCAUCCAUUGUGAAGCUGCAUUCUUAGUGAGCUGUCCAGGAGGUGGGAGGGUCUGGGAGGGAGGGUCUGCUGCUGAUUGGCUGGAAUGUGUCUG